GCUCCCGUAGCUCAGCCUGGAUAGAGCACCUGCCUUCUAAGCAGGGGGUCGUAGGUUCAAAUCCUAUCGGGAGCG
rnacentral:tRNA from 1 species